UACGUAGGGUGCGAGCGUUGUCCGGAAUUAUUGGGCGUAAAGAGCUUGUAGGCGGUUUGUCGCGUCUGCUGUGAAAAUCCGGGGCUCAACCCCGGACUUGCAGUGGGUACGGGCAGACUAGAGUGUGGUAGGGGAGACUGGAAUUCCUGGUGUAGCGGUGAAAUGCGCAGAUAUCAGGAGGAACACCGAUGGCGAAGGCAGGUCUCUGGGCCGAUACUGACGCUGAGAGCGAACGAGCGUGGGGAGCGAACAGG
rnacentral:rRNA from 1 species